AGUAAGAGAGAUUGAAAAAAAGGAUUUUUUAAGGUUCAGAGAUCCUGCCCUAAUACCAUGAGAAGUUGUAAUUAAAUUUUCUGUUUAUUGAAUUUUUAUUCAUGACACUUAAUUUAUGAUAUCUGAAUGCAUAUAAGAGAAGAUUAGUAGGAGUUUUAGUAUGAAACUAAAUAUAAAUUAGUACCAUAAAAGUAAAAAAUCUUCUAGUUAUAGAAGUCGACUAUGAUUCUACUUUAUAGAGAGAUCUUUUUUAAGAUAUCAAUCUAUACAGGAGUUUGACUUUUACAAGAAGUCGGAUUCUUACUGUUCGGUUUUUGUGUAACAGAAGAUUUGGGAUAUUCUUGAAUUGAGAACCUUCCAGUUGUCUUGUAAACAUGUCAGGCAUAUUGCUUAAUUCCUAGCAAGCUAUUUUUAAGGCUCAAAUCGGCUUUAAAAGGAUACAAGUUUCCAUGUUUUUCUUGUGAAUUUUUUUCCCUAGCAUGUUGAACACUUUUUCCCCUACUUUAGGUCUUGGAAAAUAAUGUGGGGUUUCCAUAUGAUAAUAACUAUCAUAUAAGCAACCUUGUUAAACUUUAGUUUUAAUUUUCUUCUCUUAUCCAUUUUGGUAAAAAGCAUUAUAUAAAUUAUCUCGAAACUCGUUGGUUGUUGAUGAACCUUAUGAUAAAGGGAAUGUAACUAAGAGAACAUGGUUAAAUCCACUCUUGUUUGAACCCAUCCAAAAUUGCCUUGUACUUUUUCUUAAUGAUUUGACUUAAAGGAUAAGAUCCAAACUCAAUUCAUCUCCAAAAGUAUAAAUUGCAAAUCUGUGACCACAAAUCUCAAAAUUAGCACAAACGGUUGAGUAUUCCCCAUGAACUUGCAGAAGUUUCAACUCAAAUUUGGGUUGGAAGUGGGUUGAAAGUGGCUUGAAAUGCUUCAGUUAAAAAAAGGGCACUUGGCUUUGUAUGCAGCUCCAUUUCAUAAGACGACUUAAGGUUCCCUUGAAGGUGGUAGUUUGGAAUUGGAUCUUGUGGGCAUCAAUGUGGCUGCUAAGGUUGAGUUCCAGCAAGGCAACAAUGGUUUGAGGUGUUGCUGGCAAGUGAGGUUUAUUAUAACGGAGGUAGGAUCUGAGACUUGGUGGGUGAUCGGUUGACAAUCUUGAGUGUUGAUAAUGGUGGAGGUGUUGUCCACCUCCUACUGGCGGCCAGAGAACUAAGGGGAAGGAUGGAAUGGAAUAGCUAUUAAGUCAUAAUAGAAUAAGGUUGUAAUUUGAUUGUGAUUACAUGAUCCUGUUUGGUUAGCAUAUUAGAAUAGCAGUUCCAUUGUUUGUUUGGUAUGUUGUUAUGGAGAUGGACUAAUUGAAAUGACUACAAUGUCCUUGUUA